UGACGGCCGAGCCAUAAAUUAUUUAAAUAAAGAGUCUUAAAAAAAAGACAGCAAUAAAGCUAAGUUCAUCACAAUUAUUUGUUUAAGAGGAAAAGAAGCGCAUGAACGCGGCCUCAAUCAGGCGAUAUUUAAAGGAUAAUUCCAAUCCUCUAGAGCAGAGGUGGGCAGCUUCGGCAGAGCAUUUUUGUAGUGUGCGUGCAAUUGAUGUCACUGUGUGCAUGCGAACAAGUCGUGUGAAGCUUUCGCUGUCUUCCCAAGCAGAGCAUGUAUACGCGAAUUCGCCACGCAGUCGCCCCCGGACAGACGCUGCCCAGCUGUGCUCUAGAGCUACCGCGUACACUGUAAGCAAAAGUUAAUGCUUUCAAAGUUUUUCUUUUAUUAUCGUUUUGUGUUCAUUUUCAAAGCAAAUUGAGGACUUCCAAAUAAAACUGUAAUAUAAUUGGUUAAUAAACAGAUGAACCACUUCGUUCAACUUCAAUACCUCCGCUCAUAAAAGCUUGCGCACCUCUUCGAUUUUUUCGCAGAAGGAAGUGCCACCGCAAAGACUUCAAUUUGGAAGACCUGGUGUGUCGGUAGUUUUAAAAGAGGUGCUUCAGUUGAUAAAGGAAAAUAUUUGCAAUCUGUUGUAAAUUCUUUGUUAAUUUGGUAGUUAGCAGGCGGAUUACCGCGGAUUCAAUUUCGCGUUAAUAAAAUACGUGUUUCUUUUUAUUUCGCCCAAAAGGAAGUGCCCGCCAUCUUCCUCCUUUUCUCUUUAUUAAUUUUCUUUACAGGGUUGCAUUACAUAAUUUACUUAGACUAGUAGGAACAGGGUUGCAUUGCCGACUCCGAAAAUUAACUAAAUGAAAUUAUUUUAUACAAUGUUACAACUCGGCCAAACCUGACACAUGAUCGGCCUCGAUCAGAAUAAAAUCACUCAACUAAUCGCUAAUGGGUCCUGAUCUGUAUUCUCAACGCACACUUCCGGUAGCUGCCGCCACGUUCUCAUUCGAUGGGCCUCGAUCAUACCGUCAUAGGGAAGUUGCGUAAGCUGGCAAUUAUUUAUGUCGCGGACGACGUACCUAUCAUUCCCUAGAACCUUAUGCAAUACGUACGGUCCCUUGUAUUGAGGCACGAAUUUUUUGUUACUUCCUGUAGAAGUGUCGACAUUUCUCACGACUACAAAGUCUCCUACGUCAUAUGCCUUACUUUGGCGGUUACUCUUCGCGCGGAAUCGUACUCUUAUCUUGCAGUGAUCGAGUCGGAUGCGUCCUUACGUAGGCGGUCCAAGUCUCGUCCUUCGUCCGGGCAUAGUUUUUCCUGGAAGUAUUCCGUAAAUUCGUUAAAUAUCACCCCUCGUCGGCUCGGGGUAUCACGGCAAGUACUUUGCACCGAAUUAUUAAUAGCGUAUUCGACUUCAAGUAAUUUUUUAACCCAGUCAUCAUGGUUAAUAGGGUCCGUCAACUUCCCCAACAUGGAUUUUAGUAUCCUAUUCACUCUCUCCACCUGUCCAUUGGCCUGUGGGGAUGCCACGGCAACCUUCACAUGCCCUACAUUUCGUCUCAAUAAAAAUGAACUUAACUCUGAGAGAAGUGAAACAAGUGCCUCUAUCGCUGAUGAUUCGUCUCGGCCUACUAUAAUAGCGCUAAAAUACUUGUCGAGGGCCGCCGUGACUUCUCGAGUACUAGUUGAGUUAGCUGGACAAAGCUUGACAUAUUUAGUGAAUGCGUCAACAACAACUGAAAUAUGCUUACGCUUUCACGCAUUGACGGCAGUGGUCCAAAGUGAUCUACGUGGAUAGUGUCAAACGGCAAAGGGGUUUUUGGGAUAACGUGAAGAGUUCUUUCUUUUGCAUGAGGCGGAGUGGCGUACAUUAUGCACUUCAGGCAAUUCCUAACGUACUUUUCUACUUUCGGUCGCAUGUUUGGAAACCAGUAAUAUAGCUUCAGCUUACUAAGGGUCUUCUCCACUGAUAAGUGACCCAUCCUCUUGUGAAUUACCUGUAUCACGUUGUGCUCCAUUUCGUUGGGUACAUACAGAGCUAUCUUACCGUCAUGCUUCUUCUUGUAUAUCAAUCCGUUUACCAAGAUAAUAUUUUUAUCCCGCUCUGGGCAACCUGUACUUGGAACUCCACGUCAUCCGUGUUUACAAUUAGCGCUAUCUGCCUCCUACUGAGGGCAUCAACAUGACCCAUUGAAGCCCCUUUUCUAUGUUUUAUUUUAUAAUUAUAAUUUUCGAGCUCAAGAGCCCACCUAGCUAUCCGGGGGUUCAGUUGUUUUCUUUCGAGUGUCAUCGUCAAUGAGUUACAGUCGGUUAUUAUGGUGAAGCGUAUGCCUUCUAGAUAUGUCCUAAACCUCCUAAGUGCAUAUAUAAUGGACAAUGCCUCCAGUUCAAAACUAUGAUAUUUCGACUCGGCACUUGAGGCAGUUUUGGAGAAGUACGAGACGGGGUGGAACUUACUAUCGUUUUGGGUUGCAGCAAUACUGCACCGAAAACUACACUACUGGCGUCACAAUGGAGUUCCGUCUCCCGAAGUGGGUUGAAUAUAGCCAGCACGGGGCUUUUAACAAGGCGGGACUUAAGUUCGGUGAAUGCAUCAAGGCAUUUCUCGUCAAAGUCAAAUGGUGAGUUUCUUUUAAGCAAGUUUUGUAAUGGUUUUGCAAUUUGCGAAAAGGACGGUACAAAUCUGCGGAAAUAUGAGAACAUGCCAAGGCAGGAUUGUAGUUGCUUUGCAUUCGGUGGAAUCGGGAAAUUUUGUAUGCUAUGGGUAAUAUACCUGAAUGUGACACCACAUAUCCUAAAUAAUUGAUUUCAUCAUACCCAAACCUGCAUUUAUCUAAGUUAAGUUCCAAAGCUCUAAAGGUAAGUCUCUCUAAUACUAAUUUUAGCAGGUCUUUGUGUUCAUCAAAUUUUUCGGUCGCAACGAUGAUGUCAUCCAUGUAAAUGAUGACUUUUCUGCUAUCGAACAUUUCCCGGAAGAUGUUGUUAAUGAAACGCUGAAAUACAGCGGGAGCGUUCUUCAGUCCGAACGGCAUCUUCAAAUAUUCAUAUUGACCAUUAGGGGUCACGAAGGCGGUAAGGGGAAUUGAUUCAGGUGCCAUCUGAACUUGGUGAAAACCACUUUUUAAGUCUAAUACGGAAAAGAAACGUUUGUUUUCCAGAUAUUCUAUGCAGUCAUCGAUUAGCGGCAGAGGAUAAUUAUCCCUAACAGUCAAUAUGUUUAAUGCUCGGUAAUCUACACACAUUCGGACCUUUCCGUUCUUCUUUUUAACCAGCACUAUUGCUGACGCAUGAGGUGAAUCGCUCGGCCUUAUUAUUCCAUCUCGGCAGAGUUCAUUAAUGAUAGUUUGUACUUGGUUUCUCUCAGCGUAAGAAAGUCGUCGGGGCGCGCAAUGGAAAGGUACGUCAGUCGUCAAGAGUAUCUUCAUUUCGUAUUUAAAUGGUUCGGGUGCCACUUCCGGUUCAAGAGAUGUGUUAACGAUAAGUCGCUCCAAGUCAUUCCUUUGAUUACUGGUCAGUCUAGUGUCUAUGUCUAUGUCGUUUCCACCGUGGGGAACGUCAAUGCAAAAUAUUUCAGGUACGUCAGCGGCGGCAGGUACGUCAAUGGCAGCAGGUACGUCGUCAGGCUUAUUACGGCAAUAGAUGGUAACCUCGCGUAUCGUUACGUCUUGAUCUUUAACGUAUUUUAAUUCAUCUGAUGACGGCCGAGUGUGCGUUGGGAUCAGUUACAAACUUCUCAGACUUAUACAAGCUAUGAUCGUUAACAUUUCUUAUUUCAAGCAUUUUUUUCUUAGUGUACCUAUCGGUUGCGCUAGUCAGACAAACGUUAAACAUAUUGAGGAAAUCACAUCCCUAAAUAACUGGCAAAUUAAUGCUUUUGUCUUCAAUAACAUUUAAUUCAAUUUCUUUUUUUUUCGUUCAAGAAUUCAAUAUUACAUUUAAUUUUAUGAAGUAUUUAAAUUUUGCUUCCACCGAUUCCUUUAUAACUGGGGCUUCUAUUAACCAUAUGUUUUUUCCCUAGUUGUUUUGGGACCAGUGAUGCCUUUACAAAGCUAAUCGGACUGCCAGUAUCGAAAAGAGAGGGUACCUUAUAAGUAAUUGGAACCGCAAGUGUCUUAAAAGCUAUACUCACAGAGUUAAAAGCGCCGAUUGCACCCAGUUGGUCGUCUUCAUCCUCGGCAACAGUGGCUACUUCGCGCCUUUUCAGGAGUUUUGCUGGAUUUGGGCAUGAGCGAUGGUCGUGGCCCAUCUUCCAGUACCUGAAGUAGGAACCAUCCGGUCUUAGUGGGAACGGGCAGUUUGGUUUUAUGUACCCGUUCCGGGAGCAGUUGAAACGCUUCAGCUUCGUAUCGUCGGUUUGUUUUGGCGCCGUUAUCUGCCGCUGGUUAGAUGGCUGCACCGCCCUGGUCACGAAAUAUUUGUGUUGGUACCGGUUUAUAAGGGUUUUUAAUUCCUCUACGCUUCGUGCCGUGAUCAGGAUGUGGGCAUGCGGGGUAGUGUUCCCGAUGCCGUCUAUUAAGAAGUCUAUCAACUCCGUAUCGGCGAUAUUGGCACGCUUCGCAAUGGCCUGCAUCGUUAGCGUGUAGCAGUGGAGCGUCUCCUCUUUCCUCUUCCAGCGGCGCUGCGCCAGCAUUUUGUAUACUUCUCGCCUUGUAAUUCCCACGUCGAAUUCGCCUGAUGGCGCCGUUUUUAGCGCCAGGUAAUUUAAGGCGCCCGUGGUCGAUAAAAAUACCCGCGCUGUACCUGUUAGAGACCGGCGCAGGGCAAGCAAGCGAAAAUUGUCGUCAGCACCUGAGGACUCCAUUAUUUCCUCAAAAUCGCGCAGAAAAUGGCGAACGGGACAGGUUACGUCGUCGCCAUUAAAUUUAGGCAGAGCCUGCUCAAUAUCGCCGAAUUCCAGGCGACCUUGUCGUCUACUAUUAGGAGGGCGCUCCAGUUCUUCUGUCUGCGUAGCGUCAGUAUUCUUAAGGGUCGUCACUUCUGCGUCUAGUUCAGUGAGUACGGACCUGGCUAUUUCGGUGGCAUUCUCUGAUACCAGAGCCGCAGUGUUAUUGGCGAUAGAGAUGGCGGUAUCGGCAGUGGAAUAGGCGGUAUUAGCGGUGGUGGUGGCGGCGGAAUAAGCGGUGGCGGCAGCGGCGGUAGUGAAGGCAGCGGUGGCGGCGGCGGUUUAGGCGGUAGUGAUGGCAGCGGUAGUGGCGGUGGUGUAGGCGGUAGUGAUGGCAGCGGUGACGGCAAUGUCGGCGAUGGUGCCGGCGGUGUUGGUUGAGGCAGUAAAUGCGGCAUCAACGGUAUCGGCAAGGGUAGUGGUGUUCCUAUUAUCACCCACGAGAAGUUUACGUGGCUGUUGUGUCGUGGCUGAGGGUGGGAACGCCACACCAGCUUGUUGUAAGGCCUUAGUUAUAUCCUCACGUGGGUUGGCCAUUUUCCAUGAUUAUUGGCAACUAUUGAUGAUAUUCGAUGAUCGGGGUAAUAUCCCAAUACCUGAGCUGUAAAUUCCUUGUUGAUUUGGUUGUUAGCAGGCGGAUUACCGCGGAUUCAAUUUCGCGUUAAUAAAAUACGUGUGUCUCUUUAUUUCGCCCAAAAGGAAGUGCCCGCCAUCUUCCUCUUUUUCUCUUUAUUCAUUUUCUUUACAGGGUUGCAUUACAUAAUUUACUUAGCCCUUUACGGCGCAAGUUCUUUUUUUUUUUUUUUGAAAAACCUGUUUCAAACGAUUUUAAAUACUAUUUAUAGAAAGGAAAUGAUAACAAAAAUUUAAUUUGAUUUUUUUUAAUAUUUUAUUCAAUAAAAUAAGUAUGUUGCAGAUAUGCAACAUUGCGCUUUAUUUCAGAAAAUUCAAUGAAUAUGAAAUUGCUUGAAGCAAUUGUUACUUUUGUUAUAGCAUAAGCCCACGCCACAUUUUUCGCAAAUUGUUUGCGUGUAUCCUUUGCAGUUUGGUAGCUUGCACCUUAUUUUUUUUUCUGCCCAAGCAGGCCAAUGUCCUAGCUGAUCUUGCCGAACAUCUUUCGGCGGAAUGUAUUGACAAGGACCUUUUUUCUUUUUUUCUUCUAUUUGGCUUUGUAGGGUACUUUUCCUUUUUAGCGUUCCCUGCUUUUCUGUUUUUCUUGGAUUUAUCAUAUCUAUGCACCGAAGAUACUGCGACUUUUCCCGCGAAGUUGGAUGCUAAUGUGGCCACUUUGUUGUCCCUCUAUGAAACAACGGAGAUGUCCGUUCCAUUGAUGUCACCCACCUGUUCGACAGAUGUCCCGCGGUACUCUUUCUUGGAAAUCUUUUCCUCCGGUAACUUGCAAUUGGGUAUGCGAUUUCUUCUAAUGUUUCCCAAGCUCAGUAUUCCUCGUUUUGCCAAGUAUUCAGUCAACGGCAAGGACGUGUAGUAAGUAUUAAAGAAAAUGCGGUAGUUCUCAUUGGAAGGCACACUUCUUGAAAGUCGAACAACCACAUUGACAGACGCACCUAGGUCGGGUUCAUCGUCAGCGACAAUAUUUUCUUGGCCACUGUAUACCUCAAAUUUGUGACAAAGCCACUCACACCAGACAUGACGAAUAAUUUAUAGCCCCACUUAUGCGGUUUAUCGGGAAGGUACUACUUCAGGUGGUGACGUGCCUUUGUAGAACAUAUUUGCUUGUCAAUUGAUAACUGCGCCUCUAACGGAAUUUUUCCAAAACUUGAGUUCAGCAUGUCUAACAGUGGCGUUAUUUUGAAUAAUCGGUCAAAAUCAAGGUGAUCCUUAUUUAACAUAUUGCUGUUUUCGUUCAGGUGUAACAUUUGGCGAUUUUGUGCAAAUAUUUUUUGAGACAAAAUCUCUUUUACAGGAGCGUAGCCGAACUUCUCUGACCAAUACAUACCGGCAUUCGGCAUUUCUACGAUGGACAUGUAGUAGAGAAUACCAAUAAAUUGCCUUAUUUCGAUAUUUGUAGUGUUUAAGGGCUUAUUUAAAUUUUUUCUGUGCUGUAUAUGUUAGACUGAUCUCUAAUGUAGUCCACUAUUUCAUCUGGGAACAGUUAUUGGAACACUUGGAAAGGUGUAUCCAGUCCCAAAAUGUCAUUCGACAAGUUUGUACUGCCACGGAAAUAAAUUUGCUCGGAACUUAAAUUAAGAGCUUUGGUCUUCCAUUUCACACUCAGCUGCAAAAAAUAGAACCCAAAUUCUUAAAAAACUAACUACUAAUUUCUGUAGCUAAUAUUUACUUUCUCAGGUUUACAUUUCUUGGUACCGCCCUUUGCUGUUGAGCUGAUGCCCGUUAUAACAGAGAUAUCAUUACCAUUACCACUAAAUUCUUCUUCAACUGACAACGGAAGUGCACUUAUUUCUGGAGGAAUAACAUCGUCGUCGUCUGAAAAAUCCAUUCCAUUCUCACUUUCGCAACCCAGAUCCUCUAAAAUUCGUUCUAUUUCAACGUCUGUAAGGGACGCCAUUUUCAGUUGCUAAUCGAUGUGAUAAGCGCAGAUCUGCAACAAAUCAAAA